rnacentral:rRNA from 1 species
ACGAACGCUGGCGGCAGGCCUCAUACAUGCAAGUCGAGCGCGAAAGCUCCUUCGGGAGUAAGUAGAGCGGCGAACGGGUGAGUAACAGGUGGAUAAUCUGCCUUUUGGUAGGGGAUAACGGUUGGAAACGGCCGCUAAUACCGUAUACGGUUGCACUUCCACGGGAGUGUAAAGAAAGGAGCUAUUGCUCCGCCGAAAGAUGGGUCCGCCCCCCAUUAGCUAGUUGGUGAGAUAACAGCUCACCAAGGCAACGAUGGGUAGCCGAACUGAGAGGUUGAUCGGUCACACUGGAACUGAGACACGGUCCAGACACCUACGGGUGGCAGCAGUAGGGAAUAUUGCGCAAUGGGCGAAAGCCUGACGCAGCCAUGCCGCGUGGAUGAUGAAGGCCUUCGGGUCGUAAAGUCCUUUUCUGAGGGAAGAACAAGCAGGGGAGUGGAAAGCCCCUGCCCUGACGGUACCUCAGGAAUAAGCAACGGCUAACUCCGUGCCAGCAGCCGCGGUAAU